AUGGCCAGGAUGUGCCGGGUACGGGGUCCUGCGGGGUUUGGGGCAGAACCGGUGAAGAUUUGGGGCUGGGAUGAGGCGGUCGUGACCGUGCUGGAGUGCGGGGGGGACCUCCAGCCCCCCGGGGGGUCCCUGACUCUGCUCUGCCGUGCCUCUGGGUUCAAUUUUGGGAGUUAUUACAUGCACUGGGUUCGGCAGAGCCCCGGGAAGGCGUUGGAAUGGCUUGGAAUGAUCAGUAGCAGUGGUGGCAGCACCUGGUAUGCGCCGUCGGUCAAGGGCCGGUUCACGAUCUCCAGGGACAACGGGCAGAACUCGGUGACGCUGACCAUGAACAACCUCAAGGACGAGGAUUCCGCCAUUUAUUUCUGCGCCAAGGAUGCUUAUGGUGCUGGUGGUUACUAUGCUGAUGCUCAUUAUAUUGAUGGUUUCAUCCCUUACCCAGUCACUGUGUCCCCACCAACCCCCAAAUGUCCCCAGACCCUUCCCCCAAACCCCAACCCUUGA